rnacentral:rRNA from 1 species
GUAACCUACCUCUGACUGGAGCAUAGCCCGAAGAAAUUCGGAUUAAUACUCCAUAAUACUGCGAGAAGGCAUCUUUUUUCAGUUAAAGCUUCGGCGGUCAGAGAUGGGCAUGCGUAACAUUAGCUGGUUGGUGAGGUAACAGCUCACCAAGGCUACGAUGUUUAGGGGGUCUGAGAGGAUGGUCCCCCACACUGGUACUGAGACACGGACCAGACUCCUACGGGAGGCAGCAGUGAGGAAUAUUGGUCAAUGGGCGAAAGCCUGAACCAGCCAUGCCGCGUGAAGGAUGACGGCCCUAUGGGUUGUAAACUUCUUUUAUACGGGAAGAAACCCCUCUACGUGUAGGGGGCUGACGGUACCGUACGAAUAAGCAUCGGCUAACUCCGUGCCAGCAGCCGCGGUAAUACGGAGGAUGCAAGCGUUAUCCGGAUUUAUUGGGUUUAAAGGGUGCGUAGGCGGAAAAUUAAGUCAGUGGUGAAAUCCUGCAGCUUAACUGUAGAAUUGUCAUUGAUACUGGUUUUCUUGAAUACAGUUGAGGUAGGCGGAAUGAGUAAUGUAGCGGUGAAAUGCUUAGAUAUUACUCAGAACACCAAUUGCGAAGGCAGCUUACUAAACUGUGAUUGACGCUGAGGCACGAAAGCGUGGGGAGCGAACAGGAUUAGAUACCCUGGUAGUCCACGCCGUAAACGAUGAUCACUCGUUGUUGGCAAUACACCGUCAGCGACUGAGCGAAAGUGUUAAGUGAUCCACCUGGGGAGUACGAUUGCAAGAUUGAAACUCAAAGGAAUUGACGGGGGCCCGCACAAGCGGAGGAACAUGUGGUUUAAUUCGAUGAUACGCGAGGAACCUUACCUGGGCUUAAAUGCAUAACGACGGAUCGGGAAACUGGUCUUUCUUCGGACGGAAUGCAAGGUGCUGCAUGGCUGUCGUCAGCUCGUGCCGUGAGGUGUCGGGUUAAGUCCCAUAACGAGCGCAACCCUCAUCAUUAGUUGCCAGCGGGUAAUGCCGGGGACUCUAAUGAAACUGCCGGUGUAAACCGAGAGGAAGGCGAGGAUGACGUCAAGUCAGCACGGCCCUUAUGUCCAGGGCUACACACGUGUUACAAUGGUCAGUACAAAGGGCAGCUACCAGGCAACUGGAUGCUAAUCUCAAAAGCUGGUCACAGUUCGGAUCGGAGUCUGCAACUCGACUUCGUGAAGUUGGAUUCGCUAGUAAUCGCGCAUCAGCCAUGGCGCGGUGAAUACGUUCCCGGGCCUUGUACACACCGCCCGUCAAGCCAUGGAAGCCGGGGGUACCUGAAGUUCGUAACCGAGAGGAUCG